UACGGAGGGGGCUAGCGUUGUUCGGAAUUACUGGGCGUAAAGCGCACGUAGGCGGCUUUGUAAGUUAGAGGUGAAAGCCCGGGGCUCAACUCCGGAAUUGCCUUUAAGACUGCAUCGCUAGAAUUGUGGAGAGGUAAGUGGAAUUCCGAGUGUAGAGGUGAAAUUCGUAGAUAUUCGGAAGAACACCAGUGGCGAAGGCGGUUCUCUGGGCAUUACCUGACGCUGAGGAGCCGAAAGUGUGGGGGAGCGAACAGG
rnacentral:rRNA from 1 species